UUAAGGCGAAAACCCCAAAAUGAUGGUUUGAGUCAAAAGGGAGUUUAUCUAAGUUGAAAACCUAAAAAGGUAGCUUAGGUAAGAAGAAUAUAGCAUUGAAUUUGGUGGCCAAGAGGCUAGUAUGUUCUGCUUUGAUAGAACCAGGAAGGAUUGAUUCUUCUAUUGGAUUGAGCGAGAGGUGGGAGUGAAUACGGAAAGCAGCCUUCGGACCCUGACGUGAACGGACGCUUUCUCAUUAGACUGUUAUAACCUUACUCAGGCAAAGAAAAAAAUGGGUGGUUGAAUUUUUUAAAAAAAACUUCAAGAUAUGUUAUCAUGAUUGUCGGAUUAUUUAUUUUUGGGCUAUGACCCCGUACCCAUUUUUGUAAUUUUUUUUUCCAACUGGCCAAAGUUUGCUAUCAUUCUUGCUAAUAAAAGAUAUUCUAUUUCAUUCUUUGUAUGUAUCUUUUCUUUUUAAUACCUUACAAUGAAGGAAAUGUGUGAAUGCAUUCUUAUUUUUUAAGAUUGAAAUAAUUAUUGAUAAAUGAAUAAUAGCAUGAAAGAUUUUUACAUUACAUUGGAAAGGUUGAAAGUGAUAAAAGCAAAUUGGAAAUGUUCAAUUCCUGAUAAAGACAUUGAAUUUGAAAAGAGAUUUCUUAAAAAGGAGAAGAUGAGAAUUAAAUGAGAGAAAUGAUUGAGAGUUACAUUGUUUUGGCCCUAGUACUUAAAGAUUGAGAAACUUGAGUACCACAAUUGAAUGAGAAUUAAUUAACCAGCAUUUGCAUAGCAUGCAUUGCAUUUCUAAAUGUCUAGUGCAUAGCAUACAUUGCAUUUGAAAAGGUUUGGUGUAGGGAUGUUCUAAGAUCCCACGUAAAGAAAACAGAUGUGAAAAUUUUUUUAUGAAAGAGUUUCAAAUUUUCAUUUGAGAAGAAGCUUGUGAGGUAAGAUUUUAACCCUUGAAAGA
rnacentral:lncRNA from 1 species